AGCAGCAGCCGCGGUAAUGCGUAGGUGGCAAGCGUUGUCCGGAAUUAUUGGGCGUAAAGCGCGCGCAGGUGGUUUAAUAAGUCUGAUGUGAAAGCCCACGGCUCAACCGUGGAGGGUCAUUGGAAACUGUUAAACUUGAGUGCAGGAGAGAAAAGUGGAAUUCCUAGUGUAGCGGUGAAAUGCGUAGAGAUUAGGAGGAACACCAGUGGCGAAGGCGGUUUUUUGGCCUGUAACUGACACUGAGGCGCGAAAGCGUGGGGAGCAAACAGGAUUAGAUACCCCAGUAGUCCCUGUCUCUUAUAA
rnacentral:rRNA from 1 species